AAUCUUGGGCAAUGGACGAAAGUCUGACCGAGCAAUGCCGCGUGAGUGAAGAAGGUCUUCGGAUUGUAAAACUCUGGUAUUAGGGAAGAAAGUUAUAUGGAGGGAAUGCCGUAUAAUUGACGGUACCUAAUGAGAAAGCCACGGCUAACUACGUGCCUGCAGCCGCGGUAAUACGUAGGUGGCGGGCGUUGUCCGGACUUAUUGGGCGUAAAGCGUGCGUAGGCGGUCUAUUAAGUCUGAUUUGAAAGUCCAUGGCUUAACCAUGGAGGGUGAUUGGAAACUGGUAGACUUGAGUACAGGAGAGGAAGGUGGAAUUCCACGUGUAGCGGUGAAAUGCGUAGAUAUGUGGAGGAACACCAGUGGCGAAGGCGGCCUUCUGGCCUGAAACUGACGCUGAUGCACGAAAGCGUGGGUAGCAAACAG
rnacentral:rRNA from 1 species